CAGAAAGGAUAAGAUCUCAUUUUUUUUUGUUUUAGGUGUUGAGAGGGCAUUAAUAAGAUUUUUCCUGUCUGUAGUAAUGGCCUUUUUUCCUUGUGGUAAGGAAAAGCCGAGGUAUGUGACCUCAGGUGAGCAAAGUUGGGCCUUCUGGGGAGAAGCACGAUACCCCCGACUGGCCAAAUGAUUCAGGAGACCAACAGUAUCAGCGUUUGAGGCCUCCAAAGAGGAGUUACAAAGGAGUAGGUCAUCUACAUAUUGGAGAAGAGUAGAGGUGGAACAGACAAGAAGGUUUGAAAUGUUGGAUUGUCAUUUGAAGCUUGCAAAAUUAUGGCUUCAGCUAUCUGGUCUGAGACACAACAGUAAAGAAGAGAUAACCUCAAACUUUGUAGACCUUUACUGUAGAGUGUGGUAGAGAAAAGAAAUAUAAAAUAGCCCAACC